rnacentral:rRNA from 1 species
UACAGGGGGUGCAAGCGUUAUUCGGAAUCAUUGGGCGUAAAGGGCGCGUAGGCGGUUUACUAAGUCUGGUGUGAAAUCCCUGGACUCAAUCCAGGAAGUGCAUUGGAUACUGGUAGACUAGAGUGCAGGAUAGGAUGGCGGAAUUCCUGGUGUAGAGGUGAAAUUCGUAGAUAUCAGGAGGAACAACAGUAGCGAAGGCGGCCAUCUGGACUGUUACUGACGCUGAGGCGCGAAAGCGUGGGGAGCAAACAGG